rnacentral:lncRNA from 1 species
AAAGAACAUAAAUUGCAUAAAUCACAGCUUGACUUGACUCUUCAAAAUGUAUUAAAUUUGAAAAAAAAAACACAUUUUUCAAAACCAAAAUGUGCCAUUAUUAGCCAAUAUCCAUUGAAUUAGUUCUCAAGAAUGACAAACUAGAUCACAAUGGGAAAUAUCAGUUUUAAUAGGGUACAAUACUAUUCAGUAUUGUCAUAUAUUUACUCUGGAUUGCAAAAACUUGGUUAAUUAACAGAAAAUUAAAAAAUAUAUGCAUUUGUAGAAAAAAGGAUUAAAACCAAUAUCAGCAUUAAUAAAAUUUCACAGCAUUUGAAAUUAUCAUUAAAAAUUCAUUGUUUAUUUUAAGGUCAACAUAACCGUGUUGUUUUGUUGUCUAUUCUGUUUUAAAGGUAAAUUUAUUGUUAGUAAAAAAUUAAAUGGUGUACCAUAUAUAUAUAUGUUGUAAGCAAAAAAUAAUUUUAUACUUUAUAUGGUCUUUGUUUUCUUUUAUUUUAUUGAAUUUAAAUUUAAAGCUAGUUUUAAUUAUGGGAAUUGGUUGGGAAUGGUGGUUUUAAAAAGUUUGAACUCUUAUCCCUGCAUUUUCUUAAAUUAUUUUCGUUAAUUAAAUUAAAUCGUUAAUUAUUUCUUCCAACCAUACUGACAUUCCUUUGUGCUAUUAUUGUUAUGAAAUUAUUCCUCCCAUUUCAGAAUGUAACCCCUUCUAUUAUCUUAUCGACUUUAUUCAUUUUUCAAUGGAAUUUUCCCCAUUAAUGAAAAAAAUGGACAAAACAUUAUUGACGUUAUUAAGCCAACUAUAUGAUUUUAAAUAUGCAAGAUUAAUUUAAUUUUACAAUAACAUUUGAAAAACCCUUCUUUUGUGAUGAAUUCUGGGUAUAUAUUUGAAAAUUUACACUAAGUUUGUAAUACAAAUAUUUAAAAAUGUUGUCUGAUUUAAUCUAAUAUUAAGUAUGAAAGUUGCCUCUCUGAACAAGCAACUCUAUAUAGAAAGUUUUACGAUGAAAUGUUUGGAAAAAAACAGAAGGUAAAGUCUUUAAAACUCUUCUUUGUCAUCAUUUUCAUGCCAGUAGUAAACAAGAUGUCUUCGUAAUGCUUUUCAUUUUUCUUGUGUUUUUUCGUCCAAAUGAAAAUUGUUUUGAAGUCACUUGAUUAUAUAGAACCUCUUUUGUUUCUGUUUAAUAUAAUAAAUUAUUUAAUGAAUUUGAGAGGUCAAUUGUCAGCACUUUUAAUUCAUCAAUCUGCCUCUUCUCACAGAUAGAUUAGAGCCAAGAUAAAAGGGGAUACCUGAUAUAUCAAUAGAAUGUCAUUACAUAAUUUGAAAUUUAAUGAUACUUCAUUGUUUGCACGGUAUCUAUAAUGUUCAAAGUCAAUCACAUCUUUUUGGUGCAGGCUUCUAAAUUUUACCCAGGAUGCACUUGUUCAUUGGUUUUGAAGAUAUUGUAGUGUUCUUCAUUUACGAAAGUAUUUCAAAAUUGUCAAGAAACUGUAAUUAACCGUAGAAAAUAGUGUACAAUAUUAACAACCAAUAAAUGUACCUUAUUUAGUAACAUCAAUGUUGUGAAAUUAGAAAUACCUCCUAGUAACCAUCUUUAGUGCUUGAAAUUUGUUGUUCAUCACAUGCUAUUUUGUACAUCAUUUGAUUGGUUGUCUCCGUCCUUUUGCCAUAUUAUGUUGGUGAGCUUUCACGUGAAAAUGUUAGUUAAAAUGUGUUCCUUAGAGAAAUUGUUAGACAUAACAUAUAAUUCCAACUAUGUAUUCAUUUUUUGGAUGGCUUUUUAUAUGUAUUUCAUAUCACAUAUUAAUAAAUUGGCAUGAUAAAUAACAAUGUUUAUUCCAUAUAAGUAUUAUUUUAGUAGGUUUUUCUAUAUGAAUUGGAUUUUAAAUAAAAAAGCAUAUUCACCUGGAGAAAAGUGUUAUUCACCGCGCU